rnacentral:lncRNA from 1 species
GUCCUCUCCGUCCGUCCGUCUGCUGGUCCCUAAAUCGGCCUCUCUGUGCACAAACGCCCUGGCUGCUGCCGAGGCUGCCGCUCUCUGCCUACCGCAAGGUGUACAGAAAGGAAGGAGGGUUGGCGAGCGAGCGACCCACCCCUCCCGGUCCCUCCCUCUGACCCCGCUUUCUCCCCUCCCUGCCCACGCCCCCCGCCGCCGCGCCAGCUCCCGCGAGCGGCAAAGUUGGGUCUGGGAGGGCGGCCCCUGCGGCAGCGCGAGCAGAGAGGCUGCCAGUUCCUGGCAGCGGCGCGAGGAGGGAGGCGCGGGCGGGGCGGGGGCGGGGCGCGGCGCAGGGUAAGCGAGCCUAGAGCAGGGGAGGGAAGGGAGGGCCGGGAGCCGAGAGCCCCGCGCUCCGGAAGUGAAGCGGCCAGACCACCCGCUAAUGGAUGCGGAGCCCAGGGCCUACUGACCGCUCUCCGCGCCAGGGUAGAUCUCGCCUUUGGAAGAAGCAGCCAGCCAAAGGGCAGCUUGGCGUUGGCCGGAGCUACGAAAGACCCAGACACACCAUUGUGUGGAGUUGGGUACCAUCUUCCUUUUCUAGAAGCUGACUAAAUAAGCUCGUGACUCUCACGGAACAACUGGAACACAUACACAGGAGUCCAAGCCACCCUGCUGGGACACUUCUCUCCGGGAGCUUUGGGUGCCGGAGUGGAGGCCUUUCCCCGUGACUAGCAGAGGAGAGGUGAGGCGAGGCGGCAAAGACAGGGAGAGCAGCAGAAGCAGCUCUUGCAGGUGCCUCGGGCAGUCGGAGAAGGGUCAACACCACCACGUGGCUGCUAGCACUGGGGAGAGAGCAGCAGCAGCCCCCGGCCUGCAGAGCCACUCACAGGCAGUGGCGCGGUCAUCACCGACAUACCAACCAGCCACCUUGGGUCAGGGCUAGAGACCUAACUGGAAGUGCUGAGUUCUUGCCCCUGGGCAAGGAAGGGUUAUUGGUCCAGAAGACUUUGAGACUGCUGUGGGAGUGGCCUGGGACCCCUUUACGGGUGGAGUAGAAGUUCAGGAGCUCACCCAGGAUAUUCUGAGUCCUAAGGCAGCGUCUGUCUGCACCACGGACUAACUGGUAGCCGUAGAGUUAG